GGAAGGGCUGUGGCUCAGGGCAAGAGCUUCUGCCUGGCAUGCAGAACGUCCCAGGUUCAAUCCCCAGCACCUCCA